rnacentral:lncRNA from 1 species
AUUUUUAUGUCCAUGGCAUUUGCAGUCCCAUUGCCCUUAUUGCCAUUUUUGCCAUUUCCCUCUUCUCAGAUACUGUUAUGGAGUUUGGCAAAUGUAGUUGAGCUGUGUAGUAAACAACUUCUCUCACAGUAGCAUUGAGAUCAAUCCAUCGUCUUGCAUCACAUAAGCCUGAACUCAUAAAAAUAAAGAACCCUGAUAAGUGAUGAGAAGAUAGUUGCUUAUCAUUUAUCAAUGAAUAUUAAAUCACCACAAAAUAUAGGACAGUUGAAUUAGGUUCAAUUUUUUUUUAUGUGAACGUCACAAAUUAUUUCAUAAAAACCAGAGAAAUGAAGGAUUUGAGGGAUUUGGUUCAUUAGUAUGAAUAAGUUUCGAGCUCAAUGUAAAAACUUUGUUUUGAUAGUAUUAAGUGGUGCUUUAGGGUUAAUAGAGACAAAAUUUUAAAAAGCAAGCCAUAUCAAGUAACCAUCUCCAAAUAGGACAAUGCAUUAUCCACAGAACAUCCUCAAAACAGAUAGAAACCUAUCAAAGGAAAUUAAAUUCCUCGUGCACAAGAGUUAGUCCUUUAGAAGUUUGCUUCAAACUUGGAUGAAUGUGAAUCUCCACCCAACCUUCUAGAGAGCAUGUCUCACCAUAUUUAACGAGAAAUCAGCCAAUACUUGUUGAAUUCAUAACUAAUCACCACAGACAGACAGCCGGAGUUUUGAUUUCAUCUAUAAUAUUACGAAUCAAUUGCAAACCCCAGUGUCUUAGCAAUAUCAUCCCUACCUCCGGUCAUCCAGAUUUUCCUUCUCUUAUUAGGUCCCUUCAAAAUUUUCUUAUUUUCUUUUUUUGCUUGACUAGCAAAGCAGCUAGGUUAUAGUUAACAAAAAGAAACAACUUAAUUACCAAUCCACGGGGAUGACUGCUCCAAAGCCUGUCCUCAAAAGUUUUCCUGCCUGCCUAAAAUACUUUGAAUACUCUAGCAUUUCACUCAAAGAUUGCACAAGCCAACUUGCAGUGUGGAUACGAAAAAGAGUACGUAGAUACGCAAUUUCCUCCCACAUACAUCUACGUCACCCCCGAGAACCUCAAAUCCAACAGCACAGCAAGAACCGCACUGUCCUGUCAUCCUAAAAUUUCCAGGCCACAAAUCGCCACAAAACUACAAUACGCGUGCACACGAGUGAACUAGCAACAAUUUCCACCAAAGUUGCAAUGGCGAAAGCACAACAACGGAAACUAUGAGAUGAUAACUCAGCAAACACCUAAGUGCCAGUGCCGAACACACACACACACACACAGACACGGACUUUAUGCACAAAGACACAAAACACUGACCUGUUAGCGAUCCAAUAAGCUACAAGUACAGCGAAAACAAACAGCCAGACGGAAUUUCUCAUAACAGAGAUUGUAUCGAAAGAAAAGCAGAGACCUUGGAACCAUCUCGGCUCUGACCUAGAGCAAACGAGUCCCGGCGACCCCUGAGCAAGAACCGGGAGUGGGACCGCAACAAAGAAGAGAGGAGAGACAAUACGGCCCCAAGGGAGCGUUCUGUGCCCCAAGGUAGCGUUUUGUGUGCGAUGCAGAUUCCCAUGGCCAUCGCCUCCGCGACUCUGCCGAGCUUACCAGCACAGGGAGCCGUCUUGACAAAAUUUACAAGAGGCUACCGAUAGAAAGAAGAGACGAUGGUGAACAAUAGACUGAUGCUUGCAAGGGGCAGGUGAGAAGCGACGAGAAUUGAGCAGGGCAAGGAGCGACGAGAAUCACGUUGCAAUGAUGAUCAAGCAGCGAUUUGGUUGAAGAGCGGCAAGGGAAAAGAAAGAAGGAAACAUAAGCAUCAACAUGAUAACCUAAACUUAAUUAAUUUAG